rnacentral:misc_RNA from 1 species
CCCAACUAUCCCUAUUAAUCAUUACAUCGAUCCUAGAAACCAACAAAAUAGAAUCGGAUGUCCUAUUUCAUUAUUCCAUGCUAAUGUAUUCAAGCGUGAGCCUGCUUUAAACACUCUAAUUUUUUCAAGGUAACAGUCCUAAUUCCCCGUGACACCAAAUUAAUGGCAUUACGGUUCUUUAGAAGGUGAGAAAUCAAUAAUAUCAGUACAUACCAACGGCAUGACCGAAACAUUGAUCCCGAAAUUCAACUACGAGCUUUUACCUUGAAAAAAUUAGAGUGUUUAAAGCAAGCUUAUUGCUCGAAUACAUUAGCAUGGAAUAAUAAAAUAGGACGGCAUGAUUCUAUUUUGUUGGUUUCUAGGAUCACCGUAAUGAUUAAUAGGGAUAGUUGGGUACCUAAUCGGU